UAGAAUUUAGCUUUGUGUGAAACCGAUCAAUGAACUACAUCUCUCGUCUCACACAAUAGACGUCACCAACAUGUUAGCGCUGUAAUGCUAAGCUAAUGUUUGUAACUUAGCUAUUUCAACUGAUGUGUUUAAUCCAGCUUGUCCUUUUAUGACAUCAUCUACACAUGGAAGCUCUUUGACGUUAGCUUCAUCCAUUCAGAGAAACAGUUAUGAUGUCACACGCGCAGCUUUUGGGUUUGUGGUCUUUUCAAUGUCUUAUACUUUCUUUACUUUCAAAGUUUUGACUUAAAUUGACAAACAUCACGUGUGUAAUUCAGGGCACAAUUCAAACGGGAUAAAAACAUUUGUUGGGGAGGGACUUCGGCUCUCUAUUCCAUAUAUUUCUGGAACCCAUUGGUUUAGAAAUAGAAAUAAAAGUUCAAAAUCAAAUCAAUCAGUCAAAAUAAGUUAAAUAUUUUGUAGUGAUCCAGCAAAAAAGGAACUUUUAGUCGCCAGUUAUUUCAGUAUCAGCGCGGGACAAUACAGAUAAAGAACAGACUCUUUGACCUCACCUUGGUGCCAGUUCACUAAAGUCACCAGCCUUUGCUGAGUGUCUUCUUCUUCUUCUUCUCUUCUUUUCAGGACUUUAACGGUGUAUAUACAGAUCAGAAAAUGAUGAGUUUUGGACAAAUCUUAUCCAAACAUGAAAAUGAAACUUGAGUGAGAGCACGACAACAUAGGAAUAUAUUAUGAUACGAAGUAUGACAGCCUCCUUUGAUACUCGGCCAUCAUCCUUUCAGAGGAAAAAUCCAGAUUUCUGGGGGUCUUGCAGGGCGGAAAGUCCGUCUGUGCAGGAGACAGGGAUGUCGCCCGCUGCCACUCCAUUCCCAUUGGGCAUCAGACACGUCCUGAUGUACGCUGUGUUGGUAGCACUGAAGAGGCAUCCGUUCUCCAGCUGAAAAGCAAAGUAGUCACAUUUUAAGGACUACACUGGUGUGAUCUUAUUUAUUUAAGGACAGGCCGGGGGAUCAACCCGCUCCACCUCCUGAGUCACAGGCGCCCCUGUCUGUGCAGUCUCUCAUGCACAUAUGUUGUUUCAAAAGGUCUGCGGGUGAUAUUUAAGAUUAGCCUAGCAUGCUCUUACCUUACCCUGGAUAGCAUUAGUCAUUCAAAGUGUUUAUGUGUAAUUAGUCAUGUUUACAGUGUCUUUCUCUUCUUGCACAGUCACUGACUCAAAGACCUCUCGGGUUCUGCCUCAGUCUUGUAUCUUGCUAGCGAAGCUUUUAGUAUCUUUGACUGCUACAUGCCAAAUCCAGUACAAUAAUAGCUGGACAGAAGUCUGUUUGCAUGUUUAAAAUCUACUUUCUUUGUGUGUUUUUAUGUAACUUUUUAUUGGUAUGUAAAUAUAUCUGGUUUUAUUUUUGUGCAUUACCACAUCUCAGAUCUAUUAUAUAUUAUUUUUAUAUUUAUGUAAAUAUAAAUCCUCUCCCCCGUAAUAUGUUUGUGCAACACAAAUCCUGAGUAAUGUAAAUAACUAUAAUUAAUAAUUUUUCUUUUACACAUAAUUCUGUAAUUUCUUUGAUAACUUGCAUCUGUUUUUAUUCCAUAUUAAUAUACUUUUAAAUAUAUUUAUGUCAACUGUAUGUUUAUGUCUAGCACUUAAUCGCUAUAGCAAAUUCCUUGUAUGUGUAAAAUACUAGCAAUGAAGUUAUUUCUGAUUCUGAUUUAAUUACACUGUUUUAACACUU